AUUGAACGCUGGCGGCAGGCCUAACACAUGCAAGUCGAACGAGUGGCGGACGGGUGAGUAAUGUCUGGGAAACUGCCUGAUGGAGGGGGAUACCUACUGGAAACGGUAGCUAAUCCCGCAUACCAUCAGAUGUGCCCAGAUGGGAUUAGCUAGUUGGUGGGGUAACGGCUCACCAAGGCGACGAUCCCUAGCUGGUCUGAGAGGAUGACCAGCCACACGUGAACGGAGAUACGGUCCAGACUCCGAAGGGAGGCAGCAGUGGGGAAUAUUGCACGAGGGGCGCAAGCCUGAUGCAGCCAGGCCGCGUGUAUGAAGAAGGCCUUCGGGGUGUAAAGUACUUUCAUCGGGGAGGCGUUACCCGCAGAAGAAGCACAGGCGAACGCCGUGCCAGCAGCCGCGGUAAUAC
rnacentral:rRNA from 1 species